rnacentral:rRNA from 1 species
GACGAACGCUGGCGGCGUGCCUAACACAUGCAAGUCGAGCGCUGAAGCUUUGUCCUUGUACCCACUGGAUGAGCAGCGAACGGGUGAGUAACGCGUGGGUAAUCUGCCUUUGAGCGGGGGACAACAUUUGGAAACGAAUGCUAAUACCGCAUAAAAACUUUAAACACAAGUUUUAAGUUUGAAAGAUGCAUUUGCAUCACUCAAAGAUGAUCCCUCGUUGUAUUAGCUGGUUGGUGAGGUAAAGGCUCACCAAGGCGAGGAUACAUAGCCGACCUGGGAGGGGGGUCGGCCAAAUUGGGACUGAGACACGGCCCAAGCUCCUACGGGAGGGCGCAGUAGGGGAUCUUCGGCAAUGGGGGAAAAUCUGGACGAACAACGCCGGGGGAGUGAAGAAGGUUCUCGGGUCGUAAAACUCGGUUGGUAGGGAAGAACGUUGGGGAGAGUGGAACGCUCAUCAAGUGACGGUAACUACACAGAAAGCAACGGCUAACUACGUG